rnacentral:rRNA from 1 species
UACGUAGGGGGCAAGCGUUGUCCGGAAUCAUUGGGCGUAAGAAGCGCGUAGGCGGUCCGGUAAGUCCGCUCUGAAAGUCCGGGGCUCAACCCCGGGAGGCGGCGGAUACUGCCGGGCUAGAGUCCGGAAGAGGCGAGUGGAAUUCCUGGUGUAGCGGUGAAAUGCGCAGAUAUCAGGAGGAACACCAAUGGCGAAGGCAGCUCGCUGGGACGGUACUGACGCCUGAGGCGCGAAAGCGUGGGGAGCAAACAGG